rnacentral:lncRNA from 1 species
AGACAUGGAUACAUAAUAAGUAGUCCUUUAAAGAACAUAUGGAGAAGGUAGAGUCUCAACAGUUCAGAUAACUGGACCCAUUCCAGACUGCUAAGACCUACAACCCCAAAUUCUUCACCAGACCACAAGCACAGUUAAUGCAACUGGUAGAAUAUGUUCCGGGAACAUGUGAAAUACCACUUUGAAGACUCUCAGAAGUGAGACUAAUGCUUUUUUCAUAGUUGCUGAAUGGGACCAAAGGACAAACAAUAGCCUGUGGACAAGUUAUGAGAGGUGAAGACCCGCCUGUGUAACAGCGAGACCAUGUCUCAAUUGAAAAAGAAAAACAACAACAACAACAAACAGAGGGAAUCCUUGUGACACACCACAUGCCGGGAAUUUCCCAAAGUGGGAAAAUCACAAGGAAGAUAGGCUAUCCAUCAAAAAAAUGACAGCUCCAGAGGCCCAUACCCCUUCACAUGGAGGAAACUGUCCAUCCUCGGAGGAUAAACCUACUUUGGGUAAUAUUGAGAUAGCCACUCACCCAAUGACACAGCUUUGAAGAACUUUUCAAAGUACGAAGAUACAACUUCAUCUGGAGACAACCCAUGUUGUGGAAUGGGAAGGGGGGUGUUACAGAAAAUAAAUGAUAUGCUUGGAUUCAGACUUGAGAUUUGGGGCUGGGAAGCAGAAGCUCCUGGCAAAACAUCAACCAUUAGCCCACACAAAUGACCCUGUUCAGGAUGCAGGAGAGGAAAUAAAUUGAAGACUAGAAGCCCUACUCCUCCACCUCCAUGGGACUCCACAAAAUCCACCAUCUGGUAUUAAAUGUGUGCACACACACACACCACUUACAAC